CAUAAAAAGUUGUGGCAAAUACUUCUCUAAGUGUGGGAGAGUAAGUCAGGAGCAGCGCUGCCAGUUAGUUACUUGGCCAUCCUGUACAUACUGAACAAGCACUCGCUGUAAUACAGAGAACCAGCCGCCCGCGUUCCAGUGAAGUGAUUUGGCUGCAUCUCCAAUUGUGGUAUUUUCCAUUUGUCAAAGUCAAAGCUAUCCCUUUUGUUGAUUAAUUCUGGAGAAAGUUGAAGUCUUUGUACUCCUGUGAUUGACGUGGUGCCUGACUCUGCCAGAUUUUGCCUUGGAUAUGCUGCAAUGGAGUUUUGCUCUGUCACCAGGUUCCAUGAUCUCAGCUCACUGCAACCUCCACCUCCUGGUUCAAGAGAUUCUCUUGCCUCAGCAUCCUGAGUAGCUGGGAUUACAUGCAAGCACCACAACACCUAGCUAUUUGUGUGUGUGUGUGUAUUUUUAGUAGAGAUGGGGUUUCACCAUGUUGUCCAGGCUGGUCUCGAACUCCUCACCUCAGGUGAUCCGCCUGCCUUGGCUUCCCAAAGUGCUGGGAUUACAGGUGUGAGCCACAAUGCCAGGAAUGUCAGACUGCAUUCCUGUAAUAAAUCCAACUUGGCCAUGAUGUGUAAUUCUCACUCCAUGUUGCUGACCAUUGGUUUGCUGACCAAUUUGGUUUGUUUGGGAUUUUUGCUAUUUUCUCUAUUUAGUGAAAUUGGCCUGUGAAUUUUCCCUUUUUGUCUGGUAUUUGCAUUAAGCUUAUGCUAGUCAGGAGUGUACCCCCUUUUUCUAUUUGCUGGAAUAGGGAAUAUAUCAUUUUAAAAGGAAGCACUGAAGAGAUAAUACAUUUUCUGAAGUCUUAUGUGUGAGCAUAGAGUUUUGAAAUGUUAAGGGAUCACAAUGAAGAACAGCAAAGGAAUGUUAAAAAGUAAGUCAUAUUAUCAAGUUGUUGCUUUCACAGACCAGUUUAGAAAUAGUAACAGUGAUGUUACAUGAUAGUCAUUUUACAUUAUUUCACUGAGUUCUCUUGACAACACAAUUAUUACUGUUUUAAAAAUGAAGAAAAUGAAACUAUUUAAGUAAGUUGCCUAAGGCCAAACCACCAUCAGUAUGUGUCAAAGCUGAAAUCUAAGCAUGGUUCUGAUUCCAGAGACAACGCUCCUAACCACAUAUCCCUCUUUACCCUGCCCCACCCGCCACCUGGUCUCUCAAUGGAAGGAUUGGCUGUGUUUCAGAAGUCCUUUCCUACACCUGCUAACAAUAACGACCUAUGGCAGGCAAAACAAACAUAGUCCUUUUCCAAAGUGCUGAAAUUAUUAAUAUCUCCACUGACCAGGCCUGGGGCUUCCUCCUGGAACAAGGCCCAGUAUGGACUCAGAGAUAAGGAAUGCUUCAGGUCUGAGUUCUGAAUGCUGGGCAGGGACCACUGGGGUUUUUCCUGGUGGCAGGACUCACACUGGCUGGGCUAAAGGAGACAACUAUGGAGUGGGUCACACUUUAUGUUGGCUUUUAACAAAAGCUUCCAGAAACCACUGGUACAAGGACAGUAUCGGGUGGCAAGGAGCAGCCAUAAGGCCCCCCCCACUAGCAUAUUUGCACCACCAGGGCCGUGAUUACCCCCAGGUCCCAACCUCAGAGCUGCUGCAGGCACAGACUUGUCAGCUGUGAGCUUCAGGUUUCUUCUGAGGAGGCUGAUAAAUCAAACUGCCAAGUUUAAAAUUCCUCUCCCCUCAGGAAAAGAAUGAGCUUAAUAGUCACAGGUAAAAUGGGGCAGUAGCACAUUGCUGUGGCUGGUCAGGAUGGAGGCAUUGGCUCACUCAUCUCUGUACUCCAGCCCUCCAGCUUGGGGGCCUUUCUCUCUAAAAUUCUGCCAGUUGCACAUCCCUCGUGAUAUGGUUGGCUCUGUGUUCCCACCUAAAUCUCAUCUUGAAUUGUAGUUCCCAUAAUCCCUACGGUUUGUGGAGGGACCAGGUGGAGAUAAUUGAAUCAUGGGGGGGUGAUUUUUUUUUUCCCCAUCUGUUCUCGUGAUAGUGAGUUAGUUCUCACGAGACCUGAUGGUUUUAUAAGAAGCUUCCCCCCUUCUCUGGGUGCUCAGGUUCUCUCCUGUCACCCUGUGGGGAGGUGCUUUUCAUCAUGAUUGUGAGUUUCCUGAGACCUCCCCAGCCAUGUGGAACUGUGAGUCAGUUAAACCUCUUUUUCUUAUAAAUUUCCCAGUAGUAGGUAUUCCCUUCAUGGCAGUGUGAGAACAGACUAAUGCACCUUCCUUUCUCAAAUGUCCCAAGUUUCUCCUUAAUAAACACUAUGGCCAGGUGUGGUGGCUCCUGCCUAUAAUCCCAGCACUUUGGGAGGCCGAGGUGGGUGGAUCAUUUGAGGUUAGGAGUUCGAGAUCAGCUUGACCUAUGUACUGAAACCCCAUCUCUACUAAAAUACAAAAAUUAGCCAGGUAUGGUGGCAGGUGCCUAUAAUCUCAGCUACUCGGGAGGCUGAAGCAGGAGAAUCACUUGACUCAGGAGGCAGAGGUUGCAGUGAGCUGACACUGUGCCACUGCGCUCCAGCCUGGGUGACAGAGCAAGACUCCCUCUCAAAAAACAAACCCUCUUACGCCUGCAAACUAUAAAGUGAAACAACUAAUUGGAUGUGAGAACCAAAAGAGAAAUGAAAGGUGUGUGCUUAGGGACAGAACAACAAUCCUCCUCUUCAGAGUGGGGAGAUAAAGCAGGGUUGGGCCAAGCUCCUGUGGGAAAGCAGGGUGCUGAGCGGCAGGGUCAGGAACAGGCACAGGGUAGUGAUGGUGCAUAGGUGGUGCUUGGCGUGCAGCCUUUCCCAAUCCUCCCACUUCCAAUCUUCCACAAGCCUUUUUAUUUUUAAAACUGGGAGUAGAGACUAGGGUCGGGCCAGGUGAGAGGAGUUGAAAGUUAACUGCUAGAGAAUAGCAGAAUCAAAGGCACUCAGUCUGCAACCUACUCUGCUGAGAUGCAGCCUGAGAGGAGGGGCUCCUGGUUUUGAAUUUGCAGCUCCUCCUCAGGUACCAUCUGAAGGAGCCUCCAUCACCUAGGAUCUUGUUAAAACAAAGCGUUCUGCUUUUGUGGCAUGGCAUCCCAAGGGUGUGAGGAUGGAGACAGUAGGAAAGAAUACACCACAGAUUUGUAGACAGCUUUGAAACCAACUGGUUCAAAGGUGCUUUUUGCCCUUCCUCAUGGCUGGUCUGUCUACAAUUGUUGGCACUGGCUUUAUUUUGAAUUUUAAAAUGGCAGCUAGAGAGGUUGGUGGAAUAGGAUAAGCCCCGACUCUUAAGUUCCACUGCUUUCCAACAGAAAUUGUUAGACAAGUUACUUUGACCUCAAGGAACCUAAGUUCCUCUUCUGCAAACUGGGGUUAUCACCACCCACUUCAGUCACUGCCCUUAAGAGAGAUGACAAAAGAGAGAUGGUACCUAUUAGAUAAUUAUUAUGCACAAGGUGCAUACAUCGAUGUACGAAAAGAAGAAAAAAUUAAAAAAAAUUAUUAUUGUCUGAGAUUCAUUGCCAAGGAUUGGCUGUAAUUUGUAUUACCAGAGGAGAUCAAAUUUUGCAUAUAGAAUAGACAAUCAUGAGAAUCUCAAUUAAGGUAAACAUUUAAAUAUGUGUAACAUACUCAUAGUGAAAUUUUGUAAAAUACAUAUGUAAUCCAACAGAUUUGUCUCCAUUGCUAAAUUUUUGAGCAUUUCCUUCCAUUUGCAUGUAGAGAAUACACUCCAUUUAUUUUAAACAUAUAAUUUUUCACCUUUUAACAGCUCUAAUAUAGAAAUAAUACAUUUCAGAAUCAAUGAUACCUUAAAAUUGUUGUCAAAAUUACAAACAAAGAUAAAAUUGCUGCCUACCUGCAUUAAGGUUCAUUUCUGCCAGGGGGAUGGAUGUUUUCUUCUUCCUGGAGGGAAAUUUACUUUUUAUUUAUUUAUUUAUUUUCAGAGAAGUAUUGAAAGUUUAUUAAAAAGCUUUAGAACAGUAAGGAAAGAAAGGAAAGAAAAAAAAUGAAGGAAAGUACACUUGGAAGAGGGCCAAACAGGCCACUUCAGAUACCAAGUACAUAGCUUGACCUCUUGGCUUGGGGUUUUAAAUGUUGGCAUACUUCCAGGAUCUUGCCUGCCUUCUCCCUACUUCUGAGAUCUUCUUGGGAAGCUGCUGAUCAGUUUCAGGUGUUUGAGAUGGCGGCUCACUCUGUUGCCCAGGCUGGAGUGCAGUAUUGCUAUCUCAGCUCACUGCAACCUCCACCUCCCAGGUUCAAAUGUUUCUCCUGCCUCAGCCUCCUGAAUAGCUGAAAUUACAGGCAUACACCAUCAUGCCCAGCUAAUUUUUGUAUUCCUUAGUAGAGACGGGGUUUCACCAUGUUGGCCAGGCUGGUCUCUUAACUCCUGACCUCAGGUGAUCCACCCGCCUUGGCCCCUCAAAGUGCCGAGAUUACAGGUGUGAGCCACUGCGCCUGACCUCAGGUGUUUUCUAUUAGAAAACUGCCUUUGCCUUUCCCUGGCAGUUAUUACCUAUCUAUUUAGCAAUUAUUACUUUCAAGAAACUGUUAACCACCUGACCAUAAACUAAUGGUCACCCAACACUCCUAGUAUAUGUGGUAUCCUGCCCUGCUCAUACCUACUAGCUACCUACUGAAACAGUCUUUCCUGAUGCCUCAGAAGUUUUCAACACCAUUGAACACUAAUUCCCUCUGAAAAUGCUUCUUUAUCUUUCUACCUCACUAGCUCCUCCAACUUAGUCUCAUUUGCUUGCUGCUCCUCUUCCUCCUUCCAUCUUGAAAUGUUGGAAUACCCAACACUCCUCUGCCCUGUCUGUCCUCACUUCCUGUGUUGAUCAACACAGGAAUCCAGUUAUGUGGCUUUAAGUUCCAUCUGUAUACAAUGAUUCCCAAAUGUAUAGCUCUAUCCUUGUCUCAUCCUUUGAGCAGUGAUUUUUCUGCUCUAAAUCUCCUCUUGGAUAUCUAAUAGGCUUCUCAAACUUAAUAUAUCCAAUUAAAUUUUGGGUAUAUUAAGUUUGAGAAGCCUGUUAACCAAGAAAAGAUGUAGAGCAGAACUACUUGGUUUUUUUCUAAGACAAGGUCUCUCUCUGUCAUCUCUGCUGGAGUGCAGUGGAUGGUGCAACCACAGCUUGCCCCUAUGAGCAGUUUACAUUUUCUCUUUGCUUAAGCUUUGUAGAUGAUGCUGGUAGUAGGAGUUGAAACCACAAUCUGAACAAAGAAUGAUUGGUUUCUUUACAGUUCCCUUCUAGAGAUAGAUCUACUUCUCAUUUACCCUUACCCUACUUUAUGCUAGGGUCUUCUAUUACAGUCUACACCUUGAAUGUAAUUUUUGUUGUUGAUUUCUGUUUUGGGGGCCAGAGAAAAUAAUGGUGCCUCUUACAACUGACAGUGUCUUUCAUGAAAUAUAUUUGAGGCCAAGUGUAGUGGCUUACACCUGUAAUCCCAGUGCUUUGGAAGACUGAGGUGGGAGGGUAGCUUGAGGCCAGGAAUUUAGACCAGCCUGAGCAAUAUAGCAAUACCCUCUCUCUGCAAAAAAAAUGUUUUAAUAGUGUACAUGCCAGUAGUCCUAGCUACUCAGGAGACUGUUUGAGCUCUGGAGUUUGAGGCUACAGUGAACUAUGAUGGACUCACUGUACUCCAGCCUUGGUGACAAAAUGAGACCUUGUCUUUCUCUAUAAAAUGUAUGUGUGUGUGUGUGUAUAUAUAUAUAUAUAGAUAUAUACACACACACAUAUAUAUGAAUGAUAUAGUGUACAUGUAACUUAAGCAGUACAUAGUCACUAUUUUCUACAUCUUAAUCUUCAAAAGCACUAUUUUAAUGAUUUCCCAGAAUUCUAUUUAAUCAUGUUACUUAUUACCAUAUCUGUAGAUUUAAUUGCUUUUAAUUUUUAAUCACGAUAUAAAUAAAGUUGUGAUGAAUAUCAUUUUAAUCUAUCUUCAUGUUAUCUCUGGUAAUUUCCUCAGAAUAGACUCCUAGAAAUUAAAACAGAGGUCAAAGGAUAUGAAUGUUAAAAUAUGUUUUGGUUGCAUAUUGCCAAAUUGACCUUCAGAAAUGCUCAUCACAUUACACAACAAGCAACUGAUUUAUAAAAGGCCUAUUUUCCCUAAACCAAAGUCAGAUUUAUCCAAUUACUUAUAAAAAUA